UACGUAGGGGGCAAGCGUUGUCCGGAAUCAUUGGGCGUAAAGAGCGCGUAGGCGGUCCGGUAAGUCCGCUCUGAAAGUCCGGGGGCUCAACCCCCGGGAGGCGGGCGGAUACUGUCGGGCUAGAGUCCGGAAGAGGCGAGUGGAAUUCCUGGUGUAGCGGUGAAAUGCGCAGAUAUCAGGAGGAACACCGAUGGCGAAGGCAGGUCUCUGGGCCACUACUGACGCUGAGAAGCGAAAGCAUGGGGAGCGAACAGG
rnacentral:rRNA from 1 species